rnacentral:rRNA from 1 species
UGGGGAAUUUUGGACAAUGGGGGCAACCCUGAUCCAGCAAUGCCGCGUGUGUGAAGAAGGCCUUCGGGUUGUAAAGCACUUUUGUCCGGAAAGAAAACGCCGUGGUUAAUACCCGUGGCGGAUGACGGUACCGGAAGAAUAAGCACCGGCUAACUACGUGCCAGCAGCCGCGGUAAUACGUAGGGUGCAAGCGUUAAUCGGAAUUACUGGGCGUAAAGCGUGCGCAGGCGGUCCGCUAAGACAGAUGUGAAAUCCCCGGGCUUAACCUGGGAACUGCAUUUGUGACUGGCGGGCUAGAGUAUGGCAGAGGGGGGUAGAAUUCCACGUGUAGCAGUGAAAUGCGUAGAGAUGUGGAGGAAUACCGAUGGCGAAGGCAGCCCCCUGGGCCAAUACUGACGCUCAUGCACGAAAGCGUGGGGAGCAAACAGGAUUCAGAUACCCU